AUGUCGGAGCUCCUCCCGUCGCCCGAGUACGUCCCCGCCUCCGGCCAUGGUGGCCGCGCUGGUGACCCUGCAAGUCGCCGUCCCUUCAUGCGAGCCUCCUCCGCGCCGCUUCCUCACCUCUCGUGCCUCUGCCGCGCUGGAGCUCCGUCACCUCAUGCCCCACCAAGACCCCGCGAGAUCCAGCAAGUCCGGCGCCUCCCCAAGCCCAGAGACGUCCUUCUCCUUCCCCUGUGCCGCCUCCAACCUCCGGUGUGCCCUGCAUCUCGAACCCGAGCAGCGCUGCCUCGUUGCCAUGCUCCUGUGGUGCCCUCGCCGCCGCUUCCCUGCUUCAUGCCAAGGCCGACGCCGGCCACUUCUUCCAGCUGCUUCUUGGUCAUGUGCCAACAACCAGCAGCUCGAGCUGCCUCCACGCGUCUCCGGAGACCUGCCGAGGCAGGGACCAGCAAGUCCCUCGAUGCUCCUUCACUUCAUCAAGAUUGCCAAGUCUAG
rnacentral:rRNA from 1 species